UAGGGAAUCUUCGGCAAUGGACGAAAGUCUGACCGAGCAACGCCGCGUGAGUGAAGAAGGUUUUCGGAUCGUAAAACUCUGUUGUUAGAGAAGAACAAGGACGUUAGUAACUGAACGUCCCCUGACGGUAUCUAACCAGAAAGCCAUGGCUAACUACGUGCCAGCAGCCGCGGUAAUACGUAGGUGGCAAGCGUUGUCCGGAUUUAUUGGGCGUAAAGCGAGCGCAGGCGGUUUCUUAAGUCUGAUGUGAAAGCCCCCGGCUCAACCGGGGAGGGUCAUUGGAAACUGGGAGACUUGCGUGCAGAAGAGGAGAGUGGAAUUCCAUGUGUAGCGGUGAAAAGCGUAGAUAUAUGGAGGAACACCAGUGGCGAAGGCGGCUCUCUGGACUGUAACUGACGCUGAGUCUCGAAAGCGUGGGGAGCAAACAGG
rnacentral:rRNA from 1 species